UACGUAGGGUGCAAGCGUUGUCCGGAAUUAUUGGGCGUAAAGAGCUCGUAGGCGGUCUGUCGCGUCGAAUGUGAAAACCCGGGGCUCAACCCCGGGCCUGCAUUCGAUACGGGCAGACUAGAGUUCGGUAGGGGAGACUGGAAUUCCUGGUGUAGCGGUGAAAUGCGCAGAUAUCAGGAAGAACACCCCGUGGCUAAGGCGGCUCUCUAGUACGGUACUGACGCUGAGACGCGAAAGCGUGGGGAGCGAACAGG
rnacentral:rRNA from 1 species